CGGAGCUUAAGGCGCUGGAGGAGCGAGUGCACAAGUAGAAGCGCACAGACAGGAAGUUCAACCGGAAACAUGGCCGUGGUCGCUGAGGACUCAGAAUGCAGAUAGUUAAGCGUCAUCAUUUGCAGCUGGGCAGCAGCUUUGGACCCGGCUGCCCUGCUGACUCUGGGAAUUGGAGUGUUUUAUUCCCCCGAUGCCCUGGUGGGUUGUAGUCCCUGCUCUAACCACUGGGCGGGGAUGUACCUCCCAUUGAUGACCAACCCUCUCAUGACAUCACAAUGCACAGAAGCCUAAUCACACUUUAUUGGUUUUAUUCAUGUAAACAUGAAUCCUUAUACAAGUCCUGUCCAGUCCUUAAGUCCUGAGGACCAGGUUGAGAUUUGUCUUAGAAACAUCACGCUCCUAUUUGGUUUUCACAACAUAGUUUGUUAACUGAAAUGCAGGUUUUAGAGAGUUCUAGUACUCGCUGCUCAUCAAAGAUGGUUUGUGUCAGUAUUUUAAUUGUUUGAAUUUCAAUGAUCUGAUAAAUGGAAAGCUCCAUUUAAAUAAAAUAAAAACAAUAGCCAGGCCAGUAAUCGUUAACUUUGUGUGUGUAAAAUAAUCUCAACCAGUGACUCAUCUUUCUCUUUUAUGAAGGGAAAUCUGUUAGGAAUAGAAAUGUCAGAGAUAAAAAGUCUACAAUGCAGCAACUUUGGACGUGACUUUCCACUAAUGGAUGCCGGAGGGAGGUUUGUCCCAACAUGAAGGUCAGAUUUCUCAGACGUUGAACAUAAAGAAGCUAAUGUCACUAAAACACAAUCAACACGACCUUGUUGUGCCUUUGAGACGUUAAACAACUCAACUUUUGGGCUGCUAAUGUUUUCAUGCUGAAACCCAAAGAUUAUCUUUUGAGAAAAGUCACACAGUUUUAACCUUUUUUUAAAGUGUAUUUUAGCACCAGAUCUUUUAUUAUACAAUUGACUGAGUCUCAGGAAAGGCCCUUUCUAUUUCUCGUUAAGCUUUGCAUUCAAAUAAAUUAAUAAAAAGACCAUCAAGUGGGAA